GACGAACGCUGGCGGCGUGCUUAACACAUGCAAGUCGAACGGAAAGGCCCUGCUUUUGUGGGGUGCUCGAGUGGCGAACGGGUGAGUAACACGUGAGUAACCUGCCCUUGACUUUGGGAUAACUUCAGGAAACUGGGGCUAAUACCGGAUAGGAGCUCCUGCUGCAUGGUGGGGGUUGGAAAGUUUCGGCGGUUGGGGAUGGACGCGAGGCUUAUCAGCUUGAUGGUGGGGUAGUGACUUACCAAGGCUUUGACGGGUAGCCGGCCUGAGAGGGUGACCGGCAACAUUGGGACUAAGAUACGCAGCAGCCUCCUACGGGGGGCAGCAGUCGGGAAUAUUGCACAAUGGGCGGAAGCCUAAUGCAGCAACGCCGCGUUCGGGAUGACGGCCUUCAGGUUGUAAACCGCUUUCGGCUGUGACGAAGCGUUAGUGACGGUAAUGGGUAAAGAAGCACCGGCUAACUACGUG
rnacentral:rRNA from 1 species